AAAAAAAAAAUUCUUGAAAAUGCACUUUCAUAUGUCUCUUUGUAAUUUGGCUUAUUUAAAGCUAAUGUACUUGCACUUACUACUAGUUGUCUGGAGUUUGCACCUUCAAGGUUGAAAGCACUUUAUUGGAAGUUGCUUUGGAUAAAAGUGUCAGCUAA